GCUGGGUGUUGCAGCCUGACAGCCAUGAAAUGGUGGUGGUGAGGAGCGUUGGCGUUGCCUGGGUGCAUAGGCUGAGGCUUUCUGCCUUCCUCAAGAACUGCAGUUCUCCCAGGGCCUUUCAGCUUGGCUGCCCAAGCGCACAGGACGGGGGUAUCGCUUAUCUGAGAAACCCACAGGGGAAAAAAAACCCUCCUGAUUCAGGAGAGAAGCAAGUUUUGAAAUAAGAGCAUUUUCUGCAAGCUUAAAAUUCCGGAGUUUGACUCAGGGUGUAGCUAGAAUGUAACUGAGCUGUUUCUUUCCACCACCCAUCCCCGGUCUGGUCACAUCCCUUCAUAAGCUCCAUACAUGAGGAGGAGGCACUCUAAGCUGGAGUCCAGCUCCUGACAAGACCAGCGAGAGUUUCAACUGAGACAGACUUCAGGAUGUGGCCUGUUUAAUUUUUAACAAAUAUCACAGCGUGGGCCUUUUUCCAAAUGCUAAGGGCACUGGUUUUUUUGGAAGGAAGAAGAAGAGGAAAAAAAAGCCCCUAAUUGUAUUGUAUUUGUUGCCCAUCCCCCAACAAAUGCAGAUUAUAUGGUUCAAAACCACAGUAAGCACAAAACUAUCAGAAGAUUUCAGCCAUGCACAUCAUGAAAAAUUCUACAGAUGUAUCUAAAAGGUUCUUUUGGCUCAGCUGACUCUCUGAGAGUAUUAAAGCAUAGGAUUUCUACUUCUGCUUAAGGAUCCUUUGGCACAAAAUCAAGGCUCUGGAGCACAGAUCUUAUUUUUGAAACAAUCCGACAUAGCAACGUUUGACCUGCAUCCUGGGAAGAUGGAACUCCGUUCCUGAUGAGGCAGCAGCACUGCAGUGCCAGACGCCUCCAAGGAGAGAAGCUGUACUGUCCAUCGGGAUCCAGGGACGUGAGAAGCACCCGGGAGGAGGAGACACUGCACUUUCUUCUGACCCCCAUGCACUGAUGCAGUGCAACCUUCAAAGAUGUUCUUGAGUUGUACUUAUCCAAGCAUUACAUUUGGCCUGCUGGUCUUACAGUACAUUUAUUUCAACUUCUUGCACAGGCAGGGAUUUUCCAAAGCAGGUACCAUUUCAAUGGAGAAAAUACAAGAACUGAAAUACAUCCGGAUGGGCCUGAAACAUCUCAAACAUUCUUCAUUUUAAGUAGUCUGUACUCAGGGCGGUGGUACAAAAUACUCUAAUUUAUACUCAGGCCUGAAGUGUAAUGAGGAGGAGUUGGAAGGAAGAUUGAAAGGAAGACUCUUUGUCCAGGAAAGAAAAGAUUUGGAAAAGUGGAAAAUAAACUGAAGUCCUGUAUGUUCAAGAGACCAGAAAAACAUAAUGGUCUGAGCAAUAGGCUUAUGGAGGAGAUUAUCAGUUACUCAGAUGCACAGAACUCUUCAUGGACAACAUGAGACCGCAUUAAUACCAGCUCAGCAGCAAUUAGCACAGCAGAAUUAGUGAUACCCUAUUGUUUUAUUGAAGAAGCCUCUGUUGGCGUUCUCUGUAGACAUCACUAUUUAACAUUACUGACAAAGAGAAGCAGGUUAUUGAGGGAGGAGGGAGAUGCGACUAGGUAUAGCUUAUAAUGAUGUGAAUGGGUAUUUGAAGUUUUAGAGUCCUUUUACCUUUUAACCCCCAUUGAAAUGCACUGAACUAGAGGGAAGGACAGCAUGGAAGACAUUAACAUUUUGGUUUAACAAUAGAGACAAUUGCUGGGGCUUAGAAAAGGUGCAAUGAUCCAUGAAUGUACAAUGAGAAUUUAAAAACCUGCUGUACUGAAUGAAGUGUGCACUAUUCAAAAACUGUUGAUCUAUGCAAAAUUAUUAAACAACACAUGAGAUCUGCCAGGAUUUCAGUCCCAGGUGCAGAACAGCUGCUCUCAUUCACUUUCAGGCAUGCGGUGCAGGGGCGUUCCUGCUGGAGAUGACAAGUUUGGCGGGUGCAUAGGUUGAAAGAGGAGGAUCGAAGAAGGUGGGUGUGCUUAGAGACUCCAGCCUGCUGCUUGGCCUGACAUAAUUCAGGCUGAGUAAUAACUGCUCUGCCUCCGUGGUGAUGGUGCAGCUGCUAGGAUGGGCAGAUGUUCAGGCAUUGCAUUCUUAUUGAUUAUGUACAGUGAAUGCUGCAAGUGACUGGGGGGAGGCUAAUAGCAGUACAUGGUUCCUGCCAAAAUGUUUUCUGCUCCAUGCGCAAAGAACCUUUGGUAAUUAGCUGAGCUUUUAACGGCACUUUUCCUACAAAAAUCAAGCUGAGAAAUUCCAUAGGAAUUAAAAGUUAAUGUUUCUGCUCUCCCCACUGGUUUUAUCAUCAUCAUGUGCAGACUAAGAAAUAGCAAUCGUUUUCAUGAGGUCAGAUCAAUGGCCACAUUAAGACGCUGUCAUUUUUGAAAGACAAGGGAACGCCUUUGUUUGCAGUACCUGGAAUGGACAGUGGUCGGUCCAUCAGGAUUGUCAGCUCCCCAGCACAAAGAGAAAUGAUGCUUGAUACCAAUAAGUAAUGGAUAGAAGUGGCUAUGUUGCUAUUGGUCUUAGCAAAGACAUCUCUACAGUCAGUUGGGAAACCAGAUGGGACUCCACUUUGACAUGUGAAAAAAGAUCUGGGAUAUAAGUGAUAGGCAAUACAGCAUGCCUUUUUUAGGUUUCAUCCAACAGCCACUGCAGUAAAUGAGAGACUUUCUGCUGAUUUACUGGCCUCAGACCAGGAGCGCUAAAGGAUGCUAGGACUUCACUGUCUGUCGUAAUGCAGUGACAGCCAACUGUGACAUAGCCUUGGUAUAGGGACAUUUUUAGGCAGUUUUUUUUGAGAGGCUGAAGUUCUUUUGUAUAUUAUAGUUCAAGUUGCAUGGGCAAACUGCAGUUACCUUGAUGCACUGCCAGGAUGCAGAGGAGUAGAUGCACAUGAAACUUAUUUCCUGUGGUUUAAGCUCAUUUAAACCUCAGCACAGUUGAUGUUUUGAGCAGAGCUUCAGGCACACAGUUGUUUUUAUUCAAAUACUACUUUUGCUGAUAACACGUGGGCCAGAGCUCAGAGCAGUAUCUCCUACCUGCUUGUCCAUUUGCAGUCGAAAUUGUGCCAGCCCCAUUCUUGUUCCCUAAGUUUCUGUUUCUUUUAAGCAAUCUCUCAUGCAGGUCAGCACAGCUUCUGCCUGUCUUGUCACCGUGACGCAGUACCUCUCUGGGGCUAACUUCCUUCCCAGAUACUUCUCUAGAUAGGUAUCUUCAUUCUUCUGCACCGAGAUAAAAGUUCUCUCACUGGCACAAAUUCUAAGCACAUGCUUGUAUGAGGUGGUUUUUGCUUAAGUAUUUGAUCCUUAAACUUCUGCGGAUUAGGCAUUACCAACACUUGUUGGUUUAAGUAAACAUCCACACACUUCAUAUUCAUCAGCUGGUGUCCCAGAAGGGAUUAAGAGUUGUUUAUCUAGUGAAACCCCAGCAUAUGGUGCCAGCUCUUUCUUGCACCAAUUCUAAUUGCAAACACUGAACUUGUUCUGUAGAAACUGCUAAUUAGGUGAAGCUAACACAUAUGUUUGAGCUAUAAACUAAGGUGGGGUUUUCUCCUUUUUUGCACUUGAAUUACUUGCACAAAUGAGGCUGAAGGUUGACAGAAUAAUUUACACUUUGCUUAGAAAAGUACAAGGAGAAAGUAUUCAGGCAGAUAUAACAUACUUCAGUUCCACUGAAGUUCUUUGCAAAAUAAUGGGCUUAAAAAGUAAUCUUCUGUGUACUAAGUAAACUUAGUGUUCAUGAUUCAUGGCUCUAAUCCCUGUGACUGAAAUUUAAGAUCUAAGGCUCCAUGAAAU